UAUGUACAUAAAAAGAAAUAAUAUUAAUCAAAAGAGAAAAUCAGAUAAUGACAUUGUAAUGGAAUGCAGUCCAGCUUAUGCUACAACUGAAUUUAAAACAAAUACUGCUGAUGAUGCAUCAGUGAAGGAUGGUCCAACAUAUGAUACAGUACAACAAAGUGAACAAACACAAUCAACUGUUGAGCCAGUGUAUGAUACAACUAAUGAUGAAUAUGAGACUUCUCUCCCCCCACCUUCUACUGAAUAUGAAAUACCAACUGUGACUGAUUUAUAACUUAAUCAACUUUUUGCUAAUGUGCAAAUUAUCUUGACUAGGUCGAUGUACUAUUUUAGUUGCAUUAUUUUCUCAAUAUGUGUGAAUGCCUGUAUUAUUAAUUUUUAGUACUUAUUAGUUUUUACCGUGUAGUUUGCUAAUGAACAUAAAGUUAAA